UGUUCGGAAUUACUGGGCGUAAAGGGCUCGUAGGCGGCUUACCAAGUCAGGCGUGAAAGCCCUGGGCUUAACCCAGGAAUUGCGUUUGAGACUGGCGUGCUGGAGUGCAGGAGAGGUCGGCGGAAUUCCCAGUGUAGAGGUGAAAUUCGUAGAGAUUGGGAAGAACACCGGUGGCGUAGGCGGCCGACUGGACUGUAACUGACGCUGAGGCGCGAAAGCGUGGGGAGCAAACAGG
rnacentral:rRNA from 1 species